rnacentral:tRNA from 2 species
GCUACUGUGGCUCAGUUGGUAGAGCAGCGCAUUCGUAAUGCGCAGGUCGUCCGUUCGAGUCGGACCAGUAGCUCCA